rnacentral:rRNA from 1 species
AUUGAACGCUGGCGGAAGGCCUAACACAUGCAAGUCGAGCGAGCGGCGGACGGGUGAGUAAUGUCUGGGAAACUGCCUGAUGGAGGGGGAUAACUACUGGAAACGGUAGCUAAUACCGCAUACCAUCGGAUGUGCCCAGAUGGGAUUAGCUUGUAGGUGGGGUAACGGCUCACCUAGGCGACGAGCCCUAGCUGGGCUGAGAGGAUGACCAGCCACACUGGACCUGAUACACGGCCCAGACUCCUACGGUAGGCAGCAGUGGGGAAUAUUGCACAAUGGGCGCAAGCCUGAUUCAGCAAUGCCGCGUGUAUGAAGAAGGCCUUCGGGUUGUAAAAUACUUUAAGUUGGGAGGCGUUACCAACAGAUUAAGCACCGGCUAACUUCGUGCCAGCAGCCGCGGUAAUUC